rfam:Drosophila ananassae strain TSC#14024-0371.13 Ctg01_15699, whole genome shotgun sequence.
AAGGCAGCAACAAGAAAGCACUUCAGUUGGCUAAGCUUAACCCUGUGCUGAUACAAUGCUGCCAGAAUGAAGUCGGGGCCAAGAACAUUUCAGUUUAUUUUAGCCCGUAAACUGAACUACACGUGGUCGUACAUUA